AUUGAACGCUGGCGGCAGGCCUAACACAUGCAAGUCGAACGAGUGGCGGACGGGUGAGUAAUGUCUGGGAAACUGCCUGAUGGAGGGGGAUAACUACUGGAAACGGUAGCUAAUACCGCAUACCAUCAGAUGUGCCCAGAUGGUAUUAGCUUGUGGGUAGGGUAACGGCUCACAAAGGCGACGAUCCCUAGCUGGUCUGAGAGGAUGAUCAGCCACACUGGCACUGAGACACGGUCCAGACCCCUACGGGAGGCAGCAGUGGGGAAUAUUGCACAAUGGGCGCAAGCCUGAUGCAGCCAUGCCGCGUGUAUGAAGAAGGCCGUCGGGUUGUAAAGGACUUGCAGCCGGGAGGCGUUACCGGCAGAAGAAGCACCGGCUAACUCCGUGCCAGCAGCCGCGGUAAUUC
rnacentral:rRNA from 1 species